rnacentral:rRNA from 1 species
AGAGUUUGAUCAUGGCUCAGGGUGAACGCUGGCGGCAUGUUUAAGGCAUGCAAGUCGAAUGCCUGUUUACAGGCAUGGCAAACGGGAGAGUAACACGUUGGUAAUCUACCUCUAUCUCGGGGAUAACCCGGAGAAAUCUGGAAUAAUACCCGAUAGGCAUGGGGGGACAUAAGUCAUUCCCAUGUAAAGAUUUAUCGGAUGGAGAGGAGCCUACGGCACAUCAGCUUGUUGGUGAGGUAAAAGCUCACCAAGGCGACGACGUGUAGCGGGUGUGAGAGCAUGACCCGUCUCACUGGGACUGAGAUACUGCCCAGACUCCUACGGGAGGCUGCAGUCAAGAAUCUUCCUCAAUGGGCGAAAGCCUGAAGGAGCAAUGCCGCGUGGUUGAUGAAGCUUUUCGGAGUGUAAAAACCUUUUAUCAGGGACGAAUUCGUGACGGUACCUGAUGAAUAAGUCACUGCUAACUUCGUGCCAGCAGCAGCGGUAAUACGAAGGUGGCAAGCGUUACCCGGAUUUAUUGGGCGUAAAGGGUCCGUAGACGGUUUAAAAAGUUCUUGGUCAAAUCUUGAGGCUUAACCUCAAGACUGCCAAGAAAACUCUUAGACUAGAGACCGGGAGAGGCAAGUAGAAUUGCUGGUGUAGUAGUAAAAUGCGUUGAUAUCAGCAGGAAUACCAAAAGCGAAAGCAGCUUGCUGGAACGGUUCUGACGUUUAGGGACGAAAGCGUGGGUAGCGAAU